ACUCUUAACUAAAUGUUUGUGUGAAGGUAUGAGAUAAUGGAUGGUGCUCCAGUUCGUGGAGAAUCUAUUCCUAUCAGAGUUUUCUUAGCAGGGUAUGAUCUGACCCCAACUAUGCGUGAUAUCAACAAGAAGUUUAGUGUCCGCUAUUAUCUAAACCUUGUCCUGGUAGAUGAAGAAGAUCGUAGAUAUUUCAAACAACAGGAGAUAACACUUUGGAGGAAAGGUGAAAGAUCACGGAAACUUCCUCUCUCCGGGUCCCUCUAUCAACAGCAGCAUGCUCUGGCUCGACAUACUGCUGGAGAAUUCCCAACCGAGGGUAUCCGUACUGCCCCCACUCCCUCUCUUCCCCCAACACCAUGCCUGGAUUCUCAAUCAGGGUUUCCUGGACAGAGAAACCCGGAGCCAGAGCAGGAUCAUGAUAAUAAUCAGCAGAAGGAUGGUUCUACGGAGAAGGAGCAGGAGGACGGUUCUACGGAGCAGGUGCAGGAUGAUUGUUCAACGGAGCAGUCUUCAAAAGAAGAUUCUUCUGCUCAGGGAUCGACAGAACCUAGUUCUAUAGAUAAAGGUUCUCCAGAGAAGUCUGGAGCUGAGAACUCGGAAACCUGGAACGGAGAAAAGUCCCGGACGGAGAUAGAUGAUGAAACGUCUCAGGGCGGAGCUCCGCCUGAUAUUGUGAGUGGAACCCGGGAUCUGACAAUACAGGACGGAGAAGAGGAUACGGAUAGCACCAAGGAUCUUGAUGUUGUAUCAGGGGGCGGUGGACCCCCUGCCACACCCCCUGAAAUGCUUGAUACUCCCCCGGAUAUGCCGAGUACGCCCCCGGAUAUGAUUGAGGUUCCCUCCUCUCCGGAUUUUGAUUUACCGGAUGCCCCCGAUUCAGAACCCGGAUCCCCACAGAUUGAGAAAAAGAGUGUAAAUAUGAACCCUAAGGUGGCCGAAUGUCUCUGAUUUAAUGUGUUUCUUGUUUUCCUUCAGCAGCUGUACUUGAGAACCAGAAACCAGGGUUUACUUCCUUCUCAGUCAUUAAUCAAGUUUUUAUGUUUAAAAGUUGCCGAGACAUUGAUCAAUUUUACCCAAAUCAAUUUUUCUAGUUUAACCGGUUUUUAUCACUUAUGAUGAUUUAAGUUUAUUUUUCUUUAGAUUUUCAUGAUGUAUCCUAUUCCCAAAAAUCUGGUGAAAUGUCAAUUAAAUUAUGUCUGAACACGCAUACAGUGAACUAAUUUGAAUCUGAUCGAUAAGUUUAAAUUUACAAAAUGUUACACCAUUCCUCAAUUGUAUUUUAUAAAAGAUAUUGACAUCCGAUAGAAAAUAUUUUCCUGUCCCCCCCCCCUCCCCCAAAUAGCUUUAGGCAUUAUCUGUGAUCGGUAUUCGGUCGAGGGGUUCGUCCCAAUAAUUAUUUCAAGAUUAAGUCCGUUAACACUGUAAUAUUAG
rnacentral:misc_RNA from 1 species